rnacentral:rRNA from 1 species
GACGAACGCUGGCGGCGUGCUUAACACAUGCAAGUCGAACGGAAAGGCCCUGCUUUUGUGGGGUGCUCGAGUGGCGAACGGGUGAGUAACACGUGAGUAACCUGCCCUUGACUUUGGGAUAACUUCAGGAAACUGGGGCUAAUACCGGAUAGGAGCUCCUGCUGCAUGGUGGGGGUUGGAAAGUUUCGGCGGUUGGGGAUGGACUCGCGGCUUAUCAGCUUGUUGGUGGGGUAGUGGCUUACCAAGGCUUUGACGGGUAGCCGGCCUGAGAGGGUGACCGGCCACAUGGGGACGGGGAUACGGCCCAGGCUCUUACGGGAGGGAGCAGUGGGGAAUUUUGCACAAGGGGCGGAAGCCUGAUGCAGCAACGCCGGGUGCGGGAGGACGGCCUUCGGGUUGUAAACCGCUUUCGCCUGUGACGAAGCGGGGGUGACGGUAAUGGGGAAAGAAGCACGGGCAAACUACGU